GUUGUCCGGAUUUAUUGGGCGGAACGCGCGCGUAGGCGGCCGCGCAAGUCGGAUGUGAAAACCCGGGGCUCAACCCCGGGCGUGCAUUCGAUACUGCGCGGCUCGAGACAGGUAGGGGAGAUCGGAAUUCCUGGUGUAGCGGUGAAAUGCGCAGAUAUCAGGAGGAACACCGGUGGCGAAGGCGGAUCUCUGGGCCUGUUCUGACGCUGAGGCGCGAAAGCUAGGGGAGCGAACAGG
rnacentral:rRNA from 1 species